rnacentral:rRNA from 1 species
GACGAACGCUGGCGGCGUGCUUAACACAUGCAAGUCGAACGGAAAGGCUCCAGCUUGCUGGAGUACUCGAGUGGCGAACGGGUGAGUAACACGUGGGUAAUCUGCCCUGCACUCUGGGAUAAGCCUGGGAAACUGGGUCUAAUACUGGAUAUGACCUUUCUCCUUAUGGGGUUUGGUGGAAAGUUUUUCGGUGUAGGAUGAGCCCGCGGCCUAUCAGCUUGUUGGUGGGGUGAUGGCCUACCAAGGCGACGACGGGUAGCCGGCCUGAGAGGGUGAUCGGCCACAUUGGGACUGAGAUACGGCGCAGACUCCUACGGGAGGCAGCAGUGGGGAAUAUUGCACAAUGGGCGGAAGCCUGAUGCAGCGACGCCGCGUGAGGGAUGACGGCCUUCGGGUUGUAAACCUCUUUCAGCAGGGACGAAGCGUAAGUGACGGUACCUGCAGAAGAAGCACCGGCUAACUAUGUG